ensembl:snRNA U1 U1 spliceosomal RNA
ACACAAAACUAGCAAAGGUGAAAACAUGACACUGGUUCACUCAGGGUGAGGAUCAAAUAUUGCAUUCCGGCUGUGCUGACCUCUGCAAAUUCCCCAAAUAUGGGGAUCUUGACUGCAUAAUUUCUGGUUGUGGGGGAUUGUGUUCGCAUUCUCCAC